ensembl:lncRNA
CGCCCCCCGUGCGUGUGGGUCUGCUUGCGCCUCAACCGCCCGCGGUGCUGAGGGGGCGCGGAGGGGCCGGGCCCGCUGCUCUCAGGCGUCCCCGAAUCGUACUGCGGGUGCGCGCGGCUGUACAGAACGUGGAAGUAUGGCUGUGUGCUGCGGUAUGUCGCGGAGCGCAACCCCUGCCCGGCGGGGCGUCGGCUGCUGCUCGCCCUGAGGCGCUCAGCUGGCGGGAGCCCGAGGGCCGCCCCUCCGCUGCCGCUGCCCCGGGGACGACCCUGGAGGCGGCGUUCCUCUUUCCACAGCCGCCCACCGGCCCGGUCCUGGCCGCCGUGCGCUCCGUGUCACCUCAGGGCUGGGCCCAAACGCGGCUGCAGCGCUGUCAGCCCAGCAGCACGUCUGUGUGCAGCGCCCGGGCGGCUCUCACUGCUGGUCCCCGGGUCCUUAGGAAUCCUCUGAGGACACCUCUACGUCCCGCUGCGUUCAGGGCUUUCCCAGCCAAACACAUAUUGAGUAUCAGUGUCAGACUGAAGAUGGAGAUCGUGGAUGAUUCUCCUUAGCUUUUUUUAUAUCUUUUUUCAUCCUUUUCCUUUUAUCUCCGCAAUCUAAGCAAAUCUCGUGACUACUGGAGGUCUGAGUCAUGGCACUCCAAUGAUUACAGCGAUAACUGCUGAACAGAAAAGCAUUUGUGUAUUUAUAAAAAAAAUGCUUCAGCUUAUCUCCUGGUAUCUGAUGUUCUUGUAAGAUCAGCUCAAGGCAGAUAAUUACACACAAGGCUUUAGGGUUGCCAUCUAUUUUUUUUUUUUUUUCAGAUCACACAUUGCAAAGAAAAAAAAAGGUUAGUUUUCAGCUAGCUUCAACGUCUCCUUGAUGUGAACGUACUCCAGUGGGGUGCAAACCAAAGCGUUAAAGAAAUAUUGUUUCUUAGAACUCUGUUGAGCGUGGGCUCCUGUCACUAAUGUUGCAGUAACGUAAACAGGACCGUGGUGAGGCCCUCUGUGUCUGAGUAACACAAGUACGUGCAGCAUCUUCUGUGUCAGUGUCUGCUGUGGUUUGCCUCCCGACAAAAGGAUAUUCAGGAUUUGCUGGUGCUCUGCUUCAGAAGGACCAUUCUGUAUAGGAUGUAGCAUCUCACUACCACAUAGUUCACUGCUGCUGGGCACGCCCUGCCCUCAGACCAGGCCGUGGCAUAAGCUCUGCUCACCUCGCCUGCUCAAAUAAAUCUCCGGGCUGGAGAGACUCCUGUGGAAGAAUUCCUCAAUUGCCUGCCUCUCAUCAAACAAGAUAAGCUAGACAAGACAUUUCCUUCAUUGCAAAGGAACUGUUUAAACCAAGUGUUUUAAAGAGACCAUUCUGAAGUUUAAGAUUAUGGAUUUGCCUGAGGGGCUUUAUGCAGCAGCUGAGGAACACUAUAAAGCAUCUAAAACUCAGGCCCAGACUGGUCAUCACUGAGAUACCUGUGUCUACAAAGGGCUAGCUCCUGCAUGAAGAUACUUUUUAAUCUGUAGCAUCUUCACUAUACAGAAGACAAUGUACUUUUAUAGGUUAAAUGUUAAUGAUGUGACUCAUUAAAUUCUGUGCUUGAAAUCUUCUUGGUACAUCAUCAAAAGCUGUACAUGAUUCAAACCAGCAGAUGCGGAUUACUGCUUUGCUUAGAUGCAGUUUCUAUCUAUUUGGGAUAGAAAGAAGUGGUAAAUGUUGUUUAGCACCAAACUACUUUCUGCUUGCAAACCUAAUGAUACAGGAAGCACAGGUUUAAAAAAAAAUCCAUUAAAAUAAACAAUUGGUGAUAACUGGAGCUUUGACUCUGGUUAUCUUUCAUACACACACAGAAGUUUGUCAUAG